rnacentral:lncRNA from 1 species
AUGAACACUAUAGUAAACUAUAUUUACUGUGUAUCUCUUACACCAGAUCAGGAGCCUUUGCCACAUAUACCAGUAGUAGAACUGAUGUCAGAAGACGAGGCGUCUGAUGUGGAACCAACCGCUCAGUUCCCUCCUAAUGUAAUGAGCUGGAUAAAGAGUGGCUUCCAGAAUGCUAUUCCACACCAUGUGAACAGACCCCCAAAUUCCAGUUCGUCCACACCGAGGUCAUCACAGUGCUCAAACAAAGUUUAUUCACCUCCUCCAGAGUCAGUAACCAGCGUGACAGAGAUCGAUUCAAAAACUCCCAGUAUGAUGGGUUGGAUUGUUCAGGGUCUGGGUCUUUCAAUGCCACAACCGGUGCUUAAAAACAAAGAAGGAUGUUCGGAGGACGGGAAGAUUGUGCAAAAUGCAGGCAGUGUUCAGUCAGCUUCUGCAGACCUCGUUCUUGAAGAGGUUGACUCUGAAGAUGACGCUCAAGAAAAGGAAACAUGUCCAACCGGGAACUCACCGCCAAAUUCACAACCUCAGUCCCAACCACAAACACCGUGGUCACCAGAACAAUCUCUUCCACUGAGUGUCACCACACCCUCACAAGCACACAUAGAACUGGAGGACGCAGAGACCCAAACUGCACGAUGGACACCCAUGAUUGAGAGCAUCAGGAGAGAGGCGGAGGACACCGCUAUAUUAAUUAUGGAGGAACGGUUGAUACAUGAGCGUCUGGCGAUGGCACGAAUGGCAGAAGAGGUGGCACGUCAGACAGCAGAGAUGGCUGUCAGGGAGUUGGCACAGGCCCGGUUUGGCAUUCAGACCAUUGCAGAAGAGCCAGAUGAUGAUGAUCAAGAAUUACAAGUGCUGCAGGAAGAGGAAAAGUGA